UACGGGGGUUAAGGUUUAGGGGUUCGUACUAGCGUCCCUGGGUAUGUACUGGUCUCACUGAUUCCUCCUUCCUUAUGAACCGUAAUGCCAUUAAUUUGGUGUUGCGGGGAAUUUGGACUGUUACUUUGAAAAAAUUAGAGUGUUUAAAGCAAGCUAACGCUUGAAUACAUUAGCAUGGAAUAAUGAAAUAGGACGUUCGAUCUUAUUUUGUUGGUUUCUAGGAUUGACGUAAUGAUUAAUAGGGAUAGUUGGGGGCAUUAGUAUUCAAUUGUCAGAGGUGAAAUUCUUGGAUUUAUUGAAGACUAACUACUGCGAAAGCAUUUGCCAAGGAUGUUUUCAUUAAUCAAGAACGAAAGUUAGGGGAUCGAAGACGAUCAGAUACCGUUGUAGUCUUAACCAUAAACUAUGCCGACUAGGGAUCGGAUGAUGUUAAUUUUUAAUGACUC
rnacentral:rRNA from 1 species